rnacentral:lncRNA from 1 species
UUGCACACUAAAUCUACGAUGUUUUGACAUGCUCCCUUGAACACAAAGUCUGUUUGGAUUGCAGUGACAGCCAAAUUCAUUAGGAAUAAAUGCAACUUAAUUUAUAAAAGUCUUAUCUCUUCACUCAGAUUGAUUUAUAUUGGGCAGCCCUUAGCUUUCAAAAUUAGGCAUUUGGCAUUUACAAGUAGGUACCUACCAGCACAUCUCUUAAUUAUAAAUUCCUUAGUUCACUGAAGGGAAUAUCUUCAUUAUGCAGUGAAGUGUUAGCUAAGCAUGCUUUCAGACAUGGAAGUCUAAAUAAACCUUAUUUCAGAAUAAAGUCACAGGCUGAUGUAUUUUCAUAA